UACGUAGGGGGCGAGCGUUGUCCGGAGUUACUGGGCGUAAAGCGCACGCAGGCGGUCUGCUAAGUUUGGAGUGACAGUUGGUGGCUUAACUGCCAAAGUGCUUCGAAAACUGACAGACUUGAGGGCUUCAGAGGGACACGGAAUUCCGGGUGGAGUGGUGAAAUGCGUAGAGAUCCGGAGGAACACCAAAGGCUAAGGCAGUGUCCUGGGGAGUACCUGACGCUCAGGUGCGAAAGCUAGGGGAGCGAAUGGG
rnacentral:rRNA from 1 species